GAACUUUGUUUUACCUUCUUGUUUCUUUGUUUGGCAUAUUUCUCUCGAUCGCUUUAUCAUGACAGAAGACGAUUUGGAGCGAUAAUCCUCUCAUUCAUGGCCGAAGAAGAUUUGUAGCGAUAAUCACUGUAAGAAUUCUUCUAAUCCACUUGAUUUCUAGGGUUUCCAAAUUUUCCUAUUAUCAUGUUUUUGUUUGGUUCUCUUUUCGUUUUGCAAAACCAAACGAAUCGCGACUCUGCCUUUCAAAGUUUAUGUGAAUUAAAGAUUGUUUCUUUCUUCUUUUUUGUGUUAGGUUUUGGUUUUCGUUUUGUUUUUUUUGUACCGCUUUAUUGUUGCGAUCGGUUGUGGUUUUGUUGCUCUUGUUUUGCUGUUUUGUUUGUUUGAUUUCUUCAUUGUUUUGUUUUUCUUUCAAACCCAAGAGAAAUCAUAGGCAGACACUCAACUAUUAGUGUUCUGUCAGAUUCUUUCUUGGGGACAUUGUCCCGUCGAGUUGGCUUAUGAGGGAUUUUGACCUGAGACUGAAAAAACCGAUCUUUUACCCACGGCUUAUUAUUUUGACAAAUAUACUUGGGAUUGGUUUCAGUUUACUUGUCAAAGAUCAAGUUACCCACGGCUUUAAACUUUAGUCUUUAGACUUAGACUUGAGACUGAACAUUGAUCCUUCUUGGUACCCAUGGCUUUAAAAUCUCUAGACAUAUGGAUCAUGUUCAGUUUCUUGUUUCAGUUUUUAGACAAAGCUCAAGUUACCCACGGCUUAAAAAAGUCUUUAGACAGAGACGACUUAAGAAAGUCUUUAGACAGAGACUUAAGGGACAAAGUUCGGAUUGGGUUAUGUUUGGUGCAAGGAAAAGAGGGUACCCACGGCUUCAAACACACAUUGAUCCUUGAUUCGAACUUUAGACAAUUACCCACGGCUUUAGAAAUAAAAGUCUGAACAUUGAUCUUGUUUGGUACCCGCGGCUUUAAAAUCUAUAGACAUAUGGAUCAUGUUCGGUU